AAAAACACAGUGACAAUGAAAGGGUGACCCGCGCCCCCGCCACACCUUACCCGGAGCGCCCGGGGAACUGGGCGCGGACACAGCCGUGCAUUUUAGACUGAGCUUCGGUGUUUUCUUGAGACUUUUUGUACAGUAUUUAUCAUCCACGGACGAGGCAGAAAGCGUUUUCUUUUCUCGAGGGGACACAAAGACCACACACCACACGAGAGGCGACUCCAACGUUUCUAUCCCGCACCGCUUCCUGAACGCGUUUGGUUGCAGACCCUGUGCCGGGAGCUGUUCUCAUUUGUUACUGAUAUAUCUGGCCCGGUGGCGUGCUGCUUCUAACCGCCGGCCCCGCCAGCACACUCGGUGGCCUCCAGCUGGCCCGGGUCUGCUCCGCGGUGUGGUCCAGAGAAAGUAGGCGAGAAGACCCCGAUGGCGGACCCGGCCAGGGAUGGAUGACAAAGACCGGCGCGAGGGGCCCUCAACUCCCCUGCAAUUAACAAGCUUGCAAGUAGAAUUUAUUUGAAUUUGGCUCAAGGAAAACACACUGAACCAAAAUGUACUGCGGCCGAGCCCCCCUCCAUCCGUCCUCAGCUCCUCUCUCUGACUUAACUUCCUUUUAGGAAAAGGCAAAAUUAUUUUCUUAGGUUGUCACAUACACCCCAAAUCCACCCCCCACCCCCACCCCAGCGUAAACUGAGAUGCAAGUUGCUAACCGAUGUGAGAGCAACAUGCGGUGUUUAAUUAUUUCUGACAGGACCUGAGGUCGUUGAUGCUUUAGAUUUUUUAAUUAUAUUUUUUCUACGUGUUUAUUGGUACGUUACAGGUUUUUUCAUGGAAUUUAAAGUUUUCUGUGAAACUUUGUCUUCAAGUAAUCUGACCGCAGUAAAUACUGCAUUUAAAAGUUACACUGUCGCAAAUACGUUUUGAAAUUAGUCACAAUAUAAAGAUGAAAUAAUAUUUUUAAUAAAACCUUCAGGCCAAAUCAGAAUAUGUGGGGUUUGAUCAGCCUUGUCCCUUUCUUCCCACAUUUUCUCAACAUCUUUUCUUGUCCUGGGAUGUGUAUAAACUACCGGUCCAGAGCCGGGCCUGCACUAGGGUGUUAAGGAGAACCGCUUUCAGCCUGCAUACCAGAAUAGCUUUAAGUAAAAAAAGAAAGAAAGAAAGAAAGAAAGAAAAGAAAA